rnacentral:misc_RNA from 1 species
GAUGAAGAACGUAGCGAAAUUCGAUACGUAAUGUGAAUUGCAGAAUUCAGUGAAUCAUCGAGUCUUUGAACGCACAUUGCGCCCCCUGGUAUUCCGGGGGGCAUGCCUGUCCGAGCGUCAUUGCUGCCCUCAAGCACGGCUUGUGUGUUGGGCCUCCGUCCUCCUCCCGGGGGACGGGCCCGAAAGGCAGCGGCGGCACCGCGUCCGGUCCUCGAGCGUAUGGGGCUUCGUCACCCGCUCUUGUAGGCCCGGUCGGCGCUUGCCGACACAUCAAUCUUUUUUCCAGGUUGACCUCGGAUCAGGUAGGGAUACCCGCUGAACUUAAGCAUAUCAAUAAGCGGAGGA